rnacentral:rRNA from 2 species
AAAUUGAAGAGUUUGAUCAUGGCUCAGAUUGAACGCUGGCGGCAGGCCUAACACAUGCAAGUCGAACGGUAACAGGAAGCAGCUUGCUGCUUUGCUGACGAGUGGCGGACGGGUGAGUAAUGUCUGGGAAACUGCCUGAUGGAGGGGGAUAACUACUGGAAACGGUAGCUAAUACCGCAUAACGUCGCAAGAC